rnacentral:rRNA from 1 species
AGUUCGCAGCCGCAACAGAUAAGGGAGCUUGCUCCUUUGACGUUAGCGGCGGACGGGUGAGUAACACGUGGGUAACCUACCUAUAAGACUGGGAUAACUUCGGGAAACCGGAGCUAAUACCGGAUAACAUUUGGAACCGCAUGGUUCUAAAGUGAAAGAUGGUUUUGCUAUCACUUAUAGAUGGACCCGCGCCGUAUUAGCUAGUUGGUAAGGUAACGGCUUACCAAGGCGACGAUACGUAGCCCACCUGAGAGGGUGAUCGGCCACACUGGAACUGAGACACGGUCCAGACUCCUACGGGAGGCAGCAGUAGAGGAAUCUUCCGCAAUGGGCGAAAGCCUGACAGAGCAACGCCGCGUGAGUGAUUAAGGGUUUCCCCUCCUAAAACUCUUUUAUUAUGGAAAAACAAAUGUGUAAAUAACUGUUCUCUUCUUUACAGUACCUAAUC